CCUUUAUGUAUGACCCCAUAGGUUCAAUUCUAUCUGGUAGUGAGAAAUAUCAUGAUCUCUAUCAUAAGUAUUAUUGAAAUCUCCUUCAGUAGAUCAGAACAGUUUCACUCUAACUUGACAAGGAUCAUUGAUUCAAAACAAUCCUAUUAAGCUCUCACCAUCCAUCAGUGACAUCUAGCAAUAUGUAGUAGCAAUCGAACAGAACCAAAAUAAAAUCUCUAGAUACAGUUAAUGUAUGAUACAGUUCCUC
rnacentral:lncRNA from 1 species